rnacentral:rRNA from 1 species
UACAGAGGGUGCAAGCGUUGUUCGGAAUUAUUGGGCGUAAAGGGCGCGUAGGCGGUGCGGUAAGUCUGCGGUAGAAACGUCUCCCACGGCUCAACUGGGAGUCUGCCGUGGAAACUGCCGUGCUUGGAGUGUGGGAGAGGUGAGUGGAAUUCCCGGUGUAGCGGUAGAAAUGCGUAGAUAUCGGGAGGAACGACCGGUGGC